rnacentral:tRNA from 1 species
UGUCUGUAGCUUAGUGGUUGAGUGCUUGCCUAGAAUGCAAGAGGCCCUUGUUUCAAUCCCCAGUACCAAACAA